rnacentral:rRNA from 1 species
AGGAUGAACGCUGGCGGCGUGCCUAAUACAUGCAAGUCGAGCGGUAAGGCCUCUUCGGAGGUACACGAGCGGCGGACGGCUGAGUAACGCGUAGGAACAUACCCCAAAGUGAGGGAUAACUGCUCGAAAGAGUAGCUAAUACCGCAUGUGAUCUAAGGAUUAAAGCUUCGGCGCUUUGGGAAUGGCCUGCGUAAGAUUAGCUUGUUGGUGAGGUAAUAGCUCACCAAGGCGACGAUCUUUAGCUGGUCUGAGAGGAUGAUCAGCCAGACUGGGACUGAGACACGGCCCAGACUCCUACGGGAGGCAGCAGUAGGGAAUUUCCACAAUGGACGAAAGUCUAGAUGGAGCAACGCCGCGUGCAGGAUGAAGGCCCUGGGUCGUAAACUGCUUUAUAUGUGAAGAUUUUUGACGGUAACAUAUGAAUAAGGAUCGGCUAACUCCGUACCAGCAGCCGC